CGGGUGAGUAAUACCUCGGAACUUUCUUUUAGUUGAGCAUAUCCUCCCGAAAGGGAGAGUAAUACUCGAUGUGAUCGCAAGAUUAAAGUCGCAAGACGCUAAAAGUGAGGCUGGGGCCCCAUCAGCUAGUUGGUAGGGUAAUGGCCUACCAAGGCAAUGACGGGUAGCGGAAGCGAGAGCUUGAUCCGCCACACUGGGACUGCGACACGGCCCAGACUCCUACGGGAGGCAGCAGUUUGGAAUUUUGGACAAUGGGCGAAAGCCUGAUCCAGCGACGCCGCGUGCACGAAGAAGGCCUUCGGGUUGUAAAGUGCUUUUGCUUGGGAAAAAUUUUGAUUGUACCAAGAGAAUAAGAGGUUGCUAACUCUGUGCCAGCAGCAGCGGUAAUACAGAGACCUCAAGCGUUAUCCGGAAUCAUUGGGCGUAAAGCGUUCCGAUAGGUGGUUUACUAAGUUUUGGGUAAAAGCCAGAAGCUCAACUUCUGCGUUUGCUCAAGAUACUGGUAGACUAGAGGGACAAAGAGGUGGCUGGAACCAACGGUGUAGUAGUGAAAUGCGUUGAUAUCGUUGGGAAC
rnacentral:rRNA from 1 species